rfam:Triticum aestivum genome assembly, contig: Triticum_aestivum_CS42_TGACv1_scaffold_179801_2DS
CAACCACUCCCUCUUUCCCAAAUUUCUUGUCUUAGAUUUGUCUAGAUACGGAUGUAUCUAAUACUAAAAUGUGACUUGAUACAACCAUAUCUAGACAAAUCUAAGACAAGAAUUUUGGGACGUAGGGGGUACUUU